rnacentral:lncRNA from 1 species
CGGGAGAUUCAAUUAACCGAGAUUCAGAAGCUGAAAUUUCACCUCUACCAUCAAUAGGUUUCGCUAGGGCAUUUAUAACACGACCCAAAUAAGCCUCACUCACAGGUAUCUGAGCAAUUCUUCCUGUUGCUUUUACAGAACUUCCCUCUUGUAUCAUCAAACCGUCACCCAUUAAUACAACACCAACAUUAUUUGAUUCCAAAUUCAAAGCAAUGCCUAUUGUACCUUCUUCAAAUUCUACUAAUUCACCUGCCAUUACUUCAUCAAGACCAUGAAUACGAGCAAUGCCAUCGCCUACUUGAAGUACGGUACCAGUAUUUACAAUCUUUACUUCUCUAUUAUAUUGUUCAAUGCGUUCACGGAUAAUAUUACUAAUUUCGUCGGCUCGGAUGGUUACCAUGAAUAUUUCUUAAUUCUUUUUUGGAAAGAAAAAAAAAAAAUAAUGCCUACAGUAGUAAGGACUAAUCAGUUAUUUCUUAUUUCUUUCAUCGACCCAAACAUGCCAAUAUUAGCACUGAUAGUACGUAAAUGUAAUUCCUUGUUCAAACAACUAUUGAUAGUUCCUAGAGCUCCUUGUAAGGCUUGUUGCAAAACCCGUUGUCGGACUUGAUUAAUCGCUCUUUGUUGUUCAAAAUGAAUGGUUUCAUUUUUGUAAUUUUCUAAUUGUUCCAAAGUAUUAUAAGUUGAAUUAAUCAAAUUCAAUUUUUCUCGUUCUAUCUCAGAGUAUCCAUUCACUCGAUACUGAUCUGCUUCCAUUUCCACUUUCCGUAAGCGGGCCCGGGCUUUUUCGAGUUGUUCAAUGGCCCCCUCACGUAGUUCUUCUGAAUUUCGAAUAGUAUUCAAGAUCCUCUGUUUUCGAUUAUCUAAUAAAUCACUUAAUGAAAGUAGAUUAUCUUUCCAUUCAUUUAAAAACUUCCAUGAUCCCUUCCCGAACCAAACACGAAUCUUUCGAUUCAUUUGGCUCUCGCGCUCAAUUACUUCAAUUACUUAAAUUACUUAUGGGAAAUUCCCAUAUAUUUUUGUUUUGAAUGUAAUGAGCCUAUCCUCUCUUCUCUGUUCAUAUUCCCCCCAAAAAUAAAAAUAUCGAAACUGAUCAUACUAAUCCAAGACCAGAAUAUUCGGAGGACUCUUCUGACCAAACAUAUGUAGUUGUCAGCAAAGUUGUUUCUUUUUUUUUAUUCAAAUCCAAAAAAAUUAUUCUUACUUUAUACAUAGACAUAGGUCAUCGAUUCAGCAUUGGAUAAAAUAAAAAAAAGGGAACGAAAUACCCAUUUUUCCAAUAAAUGGUUCAAAUCAUUUUAUCGACAUGAGUGUUCUAUACCGAAAAAAUUUCCAACUAUUCAUUUUGAAACUACCUCCGCAUUAAUAUAGUGGUAGAAAGAAUACCAUGCUGGGUCUGGACUUCAAACGGUUUAGCUUUAACCAUGUUAAUGGUACCGCAUCAUUGGUUGAUAGAGAAUCAAAAUAUAUUUACCAAUGAAUCACGAAAUGCUAUGGUUCUUACAUAUGAUUUCUUAAUUUAUUCAGAAGUAAUUCGCGGGAUCAUGCACCUUUCAUUCCUAGUUAUAACGAAAAAAAGUGCAGCUGGUCGAGUCCAGCCUAUUCUUGAAAUAAACAACUCGCACACACUCCCUUUCCAAAAAAGAUCAAUACACCAAGCACUACACUUAGAUUUAUUGGAUUUGUUGCUAAAAUAUCGGUAUUAAACCCGAAACCCCCGGCGGAUGGCCAGUGACCCAAGGAAACGAAAGAAUCGGUUACAUUUUUCAUAUGAUCUCCUCUUAUAGAUAGACUAAAAUAGAUAGACUAAAAAAAUCGAACAGAGUUCUUUUUCUAUCACUUCACCCCUUAUUUUUUAUUUUCUUUUUUAUUAAUUUCUCUAUUUCUAAACAGAAAAAAAAAUAUUCGAUUUAUAAUUUAUAACUGGAUUUUUUUUUUUUCAAUUGAAAUUUCCAAUAAGAAUGAAAAAUGAGAUACCGAGUCUCAUGUCAAUUACGAAAUACUUCGUUUGUUCCAACACUUACUAAAAAAAAGGUUUUCAUUGGACUAAGAACGGGAAGGGAAGGAAGAAAGCGAGUCGAUUUGCUAAUUCCUCAUCCUCAAAUCUUCCUCAUCCUCAAAUCAGUCCUUCCCAUGGGUUAUUAUCUCAACGAAUAAGUAAUUGUCGUAGUUCAAUCUUGAUAUAAUUCUAAAAAGCAAGCGACAGGUCCAAGGAAAUAAAAUAAGAAAAUAUGAAAAAUACGUAUUUUUCAUAUUUCUAGGAUUAAACAAUUAAACAAAAGGAUUCGCAAAUAAAAGUGCUAAUGCUACAACCAGUCCAUAAAUUGUUAAAGCUUCCAUAAAAGCCAGACUAAGCAAUAAAGUACCUCGUAUUUUUCCCUCCGCCUCGGGCUGUCUUGCGAUACCUUCUACAGCUUGGCCCGCAGCAGUACCUUGACCAACGCCAGGUCCAAUAGAAGCAAGCCCUACGGCCAAUCCAGCAGCAAUAACGGAAGCGGCAGAAAUCAGUGGAUUCAUGAUAAGUUCCUCGCACCAAAAUAAAGAAAUGGUUAAUGAUACAAUCAACCAAUGAAUUAUGACUUAAUUAUUCCAUUGAUAACAUUCAUCCAGUCGAAGUAACUAAGAACUCUGAAUUGAAGUAAUAAUAUUAUUGAAUCAUCAGAACUAUUUCGAUAUUUCUUUUUUAGUUCCUAUACAUGGCGUCUUUGUGAAUCCAUACGACUUUAGUUCUUCCCCAUUUCUUUGUUCCGAACCAUUCUUUUCUUUGAAUUCUUCGCUCUUUUUCUUGAUUUCAUCCCUUUUCUUUAUUCAUUCAAUUCAUAGUCACAGACGAAACGGAAGGACUUCUAUUAGAAUCCCCAUCUAAAUUCACAAUAGUAAGUCAAAUUAUAUAUAUCUUUAGUUCAUAUAUAACUAGUCUCAUAUAUAACUAGUCAUAAUAUCACAUAUACAUGUGUUUCUUCCAUAACGCAACCCAACUAUUCGUAUCUUAGAUUCAAUCGGAUUCUAAAAUCAUUCUUCGGAACAUCCACAAGAAAUGGGAAUCGUUCCAUAGAACAUCCUUUUUUUUUAUUUAAUUGCACGUCGUAAGUCGUAAACAGAUACUAUAAGAAUUCUUAUUCAAAUUCAGACUCCUAAUAUUUAAUAUUGGAAUGGAAUUGGCUGAACAAUAUAAAUAGAAUAUUUAUUCUAGGUAAGUAUGAUAUAAACGGCCCAAAGGGGAAUUUUAGGAAAAAGAUCUUUUAGUUUUAGAUCCCUUUCCCUUUUUUACAAUUCCCUAAUAUCCUAAUCUUUUUUGAUAUUACUCUAGAUCAUAUAUAUACCGUAUUUGUAUAUUUAUGUUCCCUAAGUAGAUUAUCUUAAACCAUUCAUAGAGUACGUUGGACUAAGCUAAAAAAAGCUUAUUUCGAAAACUAGUCAAUGAUGACCCUCCAUGGAUUCGCCUAUAUAAGCCGCGGCUAAAGUUGCAAAAAUAAGAGCUUGAAUACCACUUGUAAAUAAUCCAAGGAACAUGACAGGUAUAGGAACAAUUGAAGGUACUAAAGAAACAAGAACAACAACUACUAAUUCAUCAGCUAAUAUAUUACCGAAAAGUCGAAAACUAAGUGAUAAAGGUUUUGUAAAAUCUUCUAAGAUGUUAAUAGGUAAAAGGAUUGGAGUCGGUUGAAUGUAUUUACCGAAAUAACCUAAUCCCUUUUUGGUAAGACCCGCAUAGAAAUAGGCCACUGAUGUGAGUAAAGCUAAAGCAACAGUAGUAUUUAUAUCAUUCGUGGGUGCAGCUAACUCCCCAUGAGGUAACUGUAUGAUUUUCCAAGGCAAAAGAGCCCCUGACCAAUUCGAAACAAAAAUAAAUAGAAACAUAGUUCCAAUAAAAGGAACCCAAGAACCAUAUUCUUCUCCAAUCUGAGUUUUGCUCACGUCUCGAAUGAAUUCAAGGACAUAUUCGAAGAAAUUCUGACCGUCAGUAGGAAUGGUUUGUGGAUUUCGAACAGCUAGAGUAGCUGAACCUAAUAAGAUAGCGAUUACAACCCACGAAGUAAUAAGUACUUGGGCAUGGACUUGGAAACCCCCUAUUUGCCAAUAGAAAUGUUGGCCGACUUCCACACCAGAUAUAUCGUAUAACCCUUUUAGUGUGUUGAUGGAACAUGAUAGAACAUUCAUAUUGCCCUCUGAUAGGAAUAGAACUUUAAAAGGAAUUAUUUUGAUUCAACCAUCUCUUUCUCGACUUACCUACUUGAAUUGUCUAUUUUGAAUACCAACUAAUCACAUAAUAUCCCCAGUUUUUUAUCUCUUUUUUGAGAUUCAAAACUAGUAACCGAUUCCAUUUCCAUAAAUCUAUGGAGUUCCCAAAGUUAUUAUUUAUCUUAUUAUUAAUCAAGGAUUUCUUAUAUAGCUAGAACGACCCUCACAAAUAGCGAAUACUAAUUUAUUAAGAAUUAAUCGGAUUGAAGCUAUAGCGUCAUCAUUUGCUGGAAUCGAAAUAUCUGCGAGAUCGGGGUCACAAUUUGUAUCGAUUAAACAAAUCGUUGGAAUUCCUAAAGUGAUACAUUCUCGAAGAGCCGUAUAUUCUUCUUGCUGAUCAACGAUUAUUACAAUAUCGGGUAACCCCGUCAUAUAUUUAAUCCCACCCAAAUAUGUUUGCAAGUGAGAUAAUUGUCUCUUCAACAUAGCUGCAUCUCUUUUCGGAAGACGAUUGAGUCUCCCCGUCUUUUGUUCCGUUCUCAAGUCCCUGAAUUUAUGAAGUCUCGUUUCUGUAGUGGACCAAUUCGUUGACAUACCACCGAGCCAUUUUUUAUUAACAUAAUGACACCGAGCCUUUAUUGCAGCCCGUGCUACUGAAUCCGCUGCUUUAUUUUUGGUACCAACAAUUAAGAAUUGUUUUCCCCUACUUGCUGCAUCAAAAACUAAAUCACAAGCUUCUGAUAAAAAGCGAGCAGUUCUAGUAAGAUUUGUAAUAUGAAUACCUUUACGCUUUGCCGAGAUAUAAGGCGCCAUUCUAGGAUUCCAUUUCCUAGUACCAUGACCAAAAUGAACUCCUGCUUCCAUCAUCUCUUCCAAAUUGAUGUUCCAAUAUCUUCUUGUCAUUUCUCCACACACUUUCUCUUUUUUUUAAAAUAAAAAAAAAAGAGACGAGGUACCCCGAAAUAAAUAAUUGUUCCGAUGGAACCUUCUCUUAUACCGGAGAUUGGCCGUUGAUACACGAUCCAAGCCAUUAAUUCUUUUCUAUUCGUUUUUAUCUUUAUUACUAUUACCAAAUCAAAUACCAGACCAAAUACAGAUAGUUAAAAGAAUGAAUCUGCUCUUAGGAAUCAUUAAAUCCCAUAAAUGAUUGUUCUGAUGUAUCAUGGAAAUUCUUUGAACUGCAAGAAUCAAAUAAUUCUCUGUGGUGGAACAAAAUAUCUCUCAUUUCCCUCUCGAAUAAAUUAUUCUUUUUGGUUUCCAUUUCCAAAGGGAUGUUGUUAUGUUGCCUUGAACGGUGCACUAAUCCUUUAAAUCCGGUACCAACGGGUAUCAUCCCCCCCAGAACGACGUUUUCUUUUAGGCCUUUCAACCAAUCGAUACGACCCCACAGAGCAGCUUUUGCUAAAACUCGAGCAGUUUCUUGAAAACUCGCCUCGGAUAUGAAACUUUGAGUAUUCAGAGACGCUCUCGUUAUUCCCAAUAAAAUGGUUCGGUAACAAAUAGCUUCUUCGAAAGCACGCCCCGUUCGUUCCGCUCGCAACAAUCCAAUUAGUUCUCCGGGCGAAAAAACAUUAGACAUUCCAUCUUCUGAAACCAACACUUUUGAUGUUAUUUGACGUACAAUAAUUUCUAUAUGCCUAUUAUGGAUCUGAACCCCCUGGGAUCGAUAAACCUUUUGGAUCUUAUUAACUAAAGAGAUACGACUUUGCGCUAUAGUUAGCUCAGCACCAAUGAAGAAUCCCCAAGGAAUUCCAAGAAUUCUUGUUAUAUGCUCGUUCCAACCCUCAACUCUCUUUUCUAGGUUCAUCGAUAUGGAAUCAAUCGAACGCACUUCUAACACUUGUUCCACUUUUGGAAGACCCUGCGUUAUAUCACCAGAUCUUGAUUUUUCAUAUAUAAAUGUAACUAAUGUAUCUCCUUCGUAAAGGAUUUCCCCAUAAUGUCCAUGAACAGUUGCUCCCAGAGUAGCCAAAUAAGGCUUAGCUGAUCUUAUUACUACAGAGUCAACUUGAACAAUUAGAACUUGACCUGAUUUUAGGUGUGGUCCGUUUUUGGCUAUACAUACAUUUUCACAAAUAAACUGUCCGAGACUAAUUAUUGUGGAUGUCUCUUCACAAUAAUUAUGAUGGAGAAAAUACCAAUUCAAAUUGAAUGGAUUCAAAAUGAUGUUACUGCAUGGAUCGGGAUUAUAAGUUAUCCCAUUUUCAUCCAUUAAAUAAUAUUUAAGUGUUUGAAAAGUCUGUUUAAAAUUGUCAAGUUGGAAAUAUUUAGUUACCAAGAUAUGAUUAUGAGUUAUUAAAUGGUAAAAUGAAUAAAAAUUCGUAAUUUGAAGGGCUGUUCCUAAAGGACCCAACGAAUUCCUAAUUGGAAUUGGGGUAUCUUUUUUAAUUGAUUCUUUUAUCACAUUGUGAUAUUUUACAUCGUUGAAUGGACCCAUUCGAGAACAAUUGGAUGAUGACAAAAUUAUCAAAGAUUGGCAUUCCUUAUUUCUAUUUAAUAACGUACGAAUAGUUCCUUGAUUUUUUUUUUGUCUUUGUCUAAGUAAUUGUUGAAUCCUUUCCUUCGGAUAAAUGGAAUAAAACGGAUUGAUAUUGGUGUGAUCUGAUCCAUUAUCAGCGAUCAAUCCUGAACUUGACGGAUCAUUCCUUUUUCCGGUAUAUGAAAUAUAGGAUUUCACUAAGUUAAUUGUUAGGAAAUCUCGAAUCAGACCAUUUGUCCUUACUUCCAUAAAGGAAGCAUGGGUCUUUUCGAUAGGAGAACUUUUUUUUUCUUGGUACCAAUUCAAUACUAAACAAGUCCGAACUAAUUGAAUACUUGUAUCAGAAAUUCCCCGAAUCGGUUUGCCAUUUCCAUAAAGGAUAUAAUUGACAACUUGAAGGUGCAUAUUAUCCCUUUCCUGCAACAGAUCCUGAGGGAAAAGUGUUGCUAAAUUUAUACCGUCCGCUAUUUCAUAUGUGACUACGGGUCGAACCAAAACAAAAUACUUUUUCUUGGUAGGUGUGAUCCCUUGGACAUAGAUCCAAUUUUUCAAUUUUUUUGAUUCCUUGGAAUUUUUUUUUCUCGUUCCUGGUGGUAUCAAGAUGCCGAUGUGUCGGGAUAUCUUAUUUGUCUCUCCAGGAAACUGGAUAUCUCCAGAAAAGAUUUUAAGUUCAAUCCUUUUUUUUUUUCUCUCCACUCGGACCAAUCCACUUACUCGGCUUCUUGUAUUUAAAGUGAUUCGUGUAUCUACUCCAAUGAUACUAUUGUUCCGUACCAUUAUGGAAGCAGAUCCGGGUAAAAUAUGCACUUCCUCGGGAAUGAAAAAAAAUCGAUCUACUU